GAUGAACGCUGGCGGCGUGCCUAAUACAUGCAAGUCGAGCGAACAGACGAGGAGCUUGCUCCUCUGACGUUAGCGGCGGACGGGUGAGUAACACGUGGAUAACCUACCUAUAAUACUGGGAUAACUUCGGGAAACCGGAGCUAAUACCGGAUAAUAUAUUGAACCGCAUGGUUCAAUAGUGAAAUACGGUUUUGCUGUCACUUAUAGAUGGAUCCGCGCCGCAUUAGCUAGUUGGUAAGGUAACGGCUUACCAAGGCAACGAUGCGUAGCCGACCUGAGAGGGUGAUCGGCCACACUGGAACUGAGACACGGUCCAGACUCCUACGGGAGGCAGCAGUAGGGAAUCUUCCGCAAUGGGCGAAAGCUUGACGGAGCAACGCCGCGUGAGUGAUGAAGGUCUUCGGAUCGUAAAACUCUGUUAUUAGGGAAGAACAAAUGUGUAAGUAACUAUGCACGUCUUGACGGUACCUAAUCAGAAAGCCACGGCUAACUACGUG
rnacentral:rRNA from 1 species